UUCUUGGAGAGUUUGAUCCUGGCUCAGGACGAACGCUGGCGGCGUGCCUAAUACAUGCAAGUCGAGCGAAUCUUGAGGUGCUUGCACCUCUUGGUUAGCGGCGGACGGGUGAG
rnacentral:rRNA from 1 species